rnacentral:rRNA from 1 species
GAGUUUGAUCUUGGCUCAGAUUGAACGCUGGCGGCAUGCCUUACACAUGCAAGUCGAACGGCAGCACGGGAGCUUGCUCCUGGUGGCGAGUGGCGAACGGGUGAGUAAUGCAUCGGAACGUAUCCUGGAGUGGGGGAUAACGUAGCGAAAGUUACGCUAAUACCGCAUAUUCUGUGAGCAGGAAAGCGGGGGACCUUCGGGCCUCGCGCUCUUGGAGCGGCCGAUGUCGGAUUAGCUAGUUGGUGAGGUAAAGGCUCACCAAGGCGACGAUCCGUAGCAGGUCUGAGAGGAUGAUCUGCCACACUGGAACUGAGACACGGUCCAGACUCCUACGGGAGGCAGCAGUGGGGAACUUUUGGACAAUGGGGGCAACCCUGAUCCAGCCAUGCCGCGUGAGUGAAGAAGGCCUC